AGCUGUUCCCCUCUGGAGGUUUUUGACCUUCACACUUAUAAGGGCCCUGGUUUUUCCGGUGGCCCUCUUUUUUUGCCCGA
rnacentral:sRNA from 1 species